AAUCAACGCUGGCGGCGUGCCUCAGACAUGCAAGUCGAACGAUUAAAGCUCUCUUCGGAGAGUGCAUAGAGUGGCGCGCGGGUGAGUAACACGUAAGUAAUCUACCUUCGAGUGGGGAAUAACGUCCGGAAACGGACGCUAAUACCGCAUAAUGCAGCGGCAUCGCAAGAUGACAGUUGUUAAAGAUUUAUCGCUUGAAGAGGAGCUUGCGGCAGAUUAGCUAGUUGGUAAGGUAAUGGCUUACCAAGGCUACGAUCUGUAACCGGUCUUAGAGGACGGUCGGUCACACUGACACUGAAUAACGGGUCAGACUCCUACGGGAGGCAGCAGUCGGGAAUUUUGGGCAAUGGGCGAAAGCCUGACCCAGCAACGCCGCGUGAAGGAUGAAGUAUUUCGGUAUGUAAACUUCGAAAGAAUGGGAAGAAUAAAUGACGGUACCAUUUAUAAGGUCCGGCUAACUACGUGCCAGCCGCCGCGGUAACAC
rnacentral:rRNA from 1 species